rnacentral:rRNA from 1 species
UACAGAGGGGGCAAGCGUUAUUCGGAAUUAUUGGGCGUAAAGAGCUCGUAGGCGGUCUGUCGCGUCUGCUGUGAAAACUCGGGGCUUAACCCCGGGCCUGCAGUGGGUACGGGCAGACUAGAGUGCGGUAGGGGAGACUGGAAUUCCUGGUGUAGCGGUGAAAUGCGCAGAUAUCAGGAGGAACACCGGUGGCGAAGGCGGGUCUCUGGGCCGUAACUGACGCUGAGGAGCGAAAGCGUGGGGAGCGAACAGG